AUCCUUUCCUAUAUAGAUUUAAUUAUAUUCAAAAUCUGAAUGAACAUUCGUGUUUGCUCAUAAAAGAGGGAAAGUGACCUCGAGGAUUUGUUAUGGAGUUAUAAUUGUAGGUCCUUGUUGGACUCAGAGUAGAAUUGGGGAUCGACAUCGGAGUAAUUCUAGCAAAUGCACUGCUUAUUUCCUUCUCUUAUAUUUUCUUAUAUUUAAAUUCAUACAUAUAUAUUUAUUUUAUUAUACAUCUUUUAAACACUUUACAGAAAAUGAAUUACCGCUAUAAACUUCAGAAGUAGAAGUUAACUCCACGUUAUCACGUACCAGAGUGGUGUUUAAAAUCUAAUGGAGAUGUUUAGUAGAAGCAAUUCAGGCUCUCAUCGGAUUUCCUCUCAACUCAAUUAGUUUCUUUGGAGGAAUGGAUUUACAAGACUUACUUAGUGGGAUGGUUCAAACAUUAAAGAUAUGACACUUGCUGUAAAUAACCUAUCUCAAGUGAAUGCAAGCCAUUUUUGAGAUACGUAGUGUAAUUUUAAUUGUUUGCCCUAAUUUGACAUAUGUAGACAGGAAAAGUUCACUAUUUAUCUAAAUAUUAAUACAAAAAUGGAUAAUACUGUUUUAAAACUUGCUUGCUCAGGCCUGCAAUAUGGACAACAUCAACAAUAUCGUCGUCACAGGAAAAUACUCUAUUGUUUGAAGAAAUAAAAUAUGACAACGAAAUUAAUAAGAAAUUCCUCAACUAAAUUACAGAAAAAACUGCAGAUGAGAUCAAUCUACACUCGAAUAUUUCGAGCUCAGUUUUUUAAAUAAUAUUGGAGUUCGAGACAUUCUCCAACCCAACACUAAUAGAUAGUAAUAAUAUAUCUACAAAUACGAUCUGGUCUACGCUUUUUUAAGGAAUUGCACAUUAUAUAGUGUCAAUAAAUAUGCGGCUUACAUCACAAAUUACACAUUGAAAGUCAAAACAAAAAAUUCAUGGAAUGGAUUGGCUUUAAGUACAUAAAAACAUCAUUAAUUUCAUUAUUACAUCAUCAACAUGACAGGCAGAAUUCUGGAAAAGUAAA
rnacentral:lncRNA from 1 species